GACCUCAAAUCAGGUAGGACUACCCGCUGAACUUAAGCAUAUCAAUAAGCGGAGGAAAAGAAACUAACAAGGAUUCCCCUAGUAACUGCGAGUGAAGCGGGAAAAGCUCAAAUUUUGAAUCUGACGGUCGUUUCGGCCGUCCGAGUUGUAAUCUAGAGAAGCGUCUUCCGCGCUGGCCCGUGUACAAGUCUCCUGGAAGGGAGCGUCAUAGAGGGUGAGAAUCCCGUCUUUGACACGGACUACCAGUGCUAUGUGAUGCGCUCUCGACGAGUCGAGUUGUUUGGGAAUGCAGCUCAAAUCGGGUGGUAAACUCCAUCUAAAGCUAAAUACAGGCGAGAGACCGAUAGCGAACAAGUACCGUGAGGGAAAGAUGAAAAGAACUUUGGAAAGAGAGUUAAACAGUACGUGAAAUUGCUGAAAGGGAAACGCUCGAUGUCAGUCGCGUCGGCCAGGGAUCAACCUCGCUUUGUUGCUGGGUGCACUUUCUGGUCGACGGGUCAGCAUCGGUUUCGGUCGUCGUACAAUGGCGGAGGGAACGUGGCACUCUUCCGAGUGUGUUAUAGCCUUUCGUCGCAUGCGGCGGUCGGGACCGAGGAACUCAGCAACGACCUCCGGGUC
rnacentral:rRNA from 1 species